GUCACUACCUCUCUCUACCUCCAUCUCUAUCUCACCCUUUCCUUUGUAAUCUCUGCAACUUACACUUUUCAUCUCAGGAAUUAAAGGCCAAGACUCCAUCUUAUCUCCCUUUAUCUUAUUUCUCUAUCAAUCUCAAAAACCCUAACUGUAUUAAUCUCCAUAUCAUUCCCUUCUUUGUAAACAAAGUUUGUCUGCAAUUUUGAUGGUGAUUUCUGGGUAUCUGAACUCUGCAAUCCUCCGACAGUCCCACUCUCCUUUUCCAGUCUCGAGUAGCAUCACUGCCGCCAGUUCCUCCACUGGAGAAAUUACAGAGAGUUUGUCUUCUGAAUCGCUGAGGAAAAUCGCACAAGGUUGGAGAAGAUGCGUGACAUUCUUGUGAAUUAUGGUUGUCAAGUGGUAGUAAUAGGUGAUGUAGACCCAGUCACGUGCUGUUGCUAGGAUUUAUUAAAGGAUGUUUGUACAUUGUCAUUCAUUGGUAGCCUUACAUUUGGCAUCACCUUGGACACGUAUUGUGGUAUCCCUGGUAUAAGGGAUAGAAUGCUAAUGAAAUAUGAUAGAGAUUUGUCAACGAUGUUUGAAAUGCAUAGAGGGAUUAGGGAUAUUGAAGUAUUCAUUGAGGGUUCAAUUUGUGACAAUCCAAUAUGUUCUUUUGGUGGAGGUAGUGGUGUAACUGGAACUGAUAGACCUACCCCAACACCGGCACCUACUCCUACACCAACACCAACACCAACACCUACCCCUACACCAACUGGUAGUGUGCAAUCUGCCUCUCAGAAUGAUACUGAUAGUGAUCCUGAUUAGAGUGAGAACGAGUGUUACAGUGGGUAUUGUAGUAGUGAUGGUGAACAGUACAAUGAAAUUGCAAAUGUUGAUGAAGUCCAUGUGGGGGAUGAUAUGGAUUAUGAUUUUGAUGACAAUGUACAAUAUAUUAAUGAGGACUUCAAUGAGGAAGAUGGUAGUGAGUUGUCAGAUUACAACUUUGAUGAUAGUAGGGGGUAUGCCCAGUUAAGCGAUGAUGAGGUAAUGAAUGAUGUUGAAGAUAUGAGUCUUAAAGGUGAAAUAUUUGUGAGGACAGAUGCUGGGAAGAUAGAAUUAAAAAGGGGUCGUGUUUGAUGAUGUUAACCAUUUCAGAGAUAUUUUGAAAGAUUUUGCUAUUCAAGAGGGGUUCAAGUUAGUGAGAGACAAGAAUGAAAAGUGUAGGGUAGUUGCACAUUGUGGUUGUCAGGGUUGUAAGUGGAUGAUUAGGGCAACCCCUAUUACAAAUAGUAUUACAUACAUAGUGAGGAGGGUUGGACCUAAACAUACAUGUGUGAGGCAAGAAAAAAAUCCUGAUGCUAAAGGUGGUUGGAUUUGUUCAAAGAUGAAGGAGCAGCUUAGACUUAAUCCAAAUAUGGCAGAGGAUAGUAUGCAUGAUGAGGUGAAAAAAGAAAUGGGGUGCUUUAGUUGGGUUAUGGACAUGCUAUAGGGCUAAGAAAAAAGCUGCAAUACUAAACUUUGGGUCUCAGUCAGAGUCAUAUGCAAAACUUCCGAAUUAUUCUGAGGAAUUGAGACUAACUAACCCAGGAAGUGUGACCAAGUUGGAAAGGCACUUGAUCCCGCCCCAUGUCAAUUGCUUUAAGAGAUUUUUUAUGUCAAUUGCUGCACUCGAUAAAGGGUUUAAGCUUGGUUGUAGACCAUUCAUUGGGUUAGAUGGCUGCCACUUGAAAGGUAUGGCUAAUGGGAUUUUGCUUUCUGUCAUUGCUCUUAAUGGAAACAAUGGGGUGUUCCCCAUCGCAAGAUGCAUUUGUGAGGCCGAGACCAAAGAGGCUUAGGAGUUCUUCCUGGAUUGUUUAAAGGAUGUUAUUGGUGUUGCAAAUCAUCAAAACAGGGUUUGGACCUUCAUAACAGAUGGUCAAAAGGUCCUGUGUUUUAGACUAUUUUAACUAUAUUUUUUCAAUUGUUUCAAUCUGUUGUACAUGCUUUAACAAUUUGAAUUAUUUUUCUUUUUAGGGAAUAGAGCCCGCACUUAAUAACAUUUUCAAUGGUUACAUCCAUAGAAGAUGGUGCAGACAUAUUUUCAACAACUACAAGUGUAAGUUUCCAGGGUUAAAAUUUAGGAAGCAAUUCUGGGCUGCAGCUAGGGCUUACACUGAAAGGGAAUUCAAGAUUGCAAUGAAUGAAAUUAGAGUGGUUAAUAAGAUAGCAUAUACGUGGUUGAUGAAUCACCCUUUGGAGCUUUGGGCAAGGCAUAAAUACUAUGGUUAUGCAAGGGCUGAUCAUGUCACUAGCAACUUUGUUGAGUCUUUCAACAGCUGGUUAGGGAAAUUAAGGGAACAACCAAUUCUUACCCUAGUGGACAGUGUAAGGUCAAAGUUGAUGUACAGGAUGCAAAAGAGGUUUCAGAAGGCCACAACAUGGAAAUCUAACAUUACCCCAAAGAUGCUUGAAAUAUUGAAUAAUGCAAUAGAUAAGUCUAGGUUUUGUAAUCCCAGCCAUGCCGGAGGUGAUGAAUUUGAGGUGGUAUAACCUGAGAGAAAAUAUAUAGUGAAUUAAACACUUGGACAUGUUGUUGCAGGGUUUGGGAGCUAACUGGGAUUCCUUGUAAGCAUGUUGCAGCUUGUAUUGCUUUCAAAAGGUAUAAGUUUGAGGACUUUGUGGAUAGGUAUUUUACAAAGGAAAUGUAUUUGAGUGCAUAUGGAAAAAUGAUACAUCCAAUGCAUGAUAAAAGUGAUUGGCCAGAGGUGGAGUGUAAUCCAGUAUUGUCACCACCCCAUAGAAGGCUACCGGAAAACGUAAGAAAAAUAGGAUAAGGGAAGUUGAUGAAGCAGCUCCAUUGAAAAGAUCAUGCAAUUUAAGAUGCAGUAUUUGUGGUAUCCAUUGACACAACCAAAGAACAUGCAAGGGAGCACCAGUUGGCAGUGGGCAACAAGGAAGAGUAGUGAACAGACAUUAGUGAAGAAGGAACAAGUCAUCAAAGGGGAAAUUUAAGAAGGGAAAUCUCAUCAGCAAGUAACAAGUGAUCCUGGUUCUUCAUUUCCUACUCAAGCUAGUAGGACAUCAAAAGGUUCUCGAGUUCAACCUUGCUUAGAUUUUUGUUGGAUGGUUGGAAAUGUUGAACAUAGUGAUUUUUUAUUUCAAUCCAAUUUGGAUUUUUGUUGGAUAGUUAGAACAUGUUAUUUUUUAUUUAAACCCCACUUGGAUUUCCGUUGGAUAUCGUUUUUUUGGCAUUCCAUAUUUGCAGUUGAACAUCUAAUAAAACUGCAUGGAUGUUUAUGGUGGCAGGCUAUUUGUAUUAUUUUUAUGGAUUGAAAUGAUUGUAAUGAGAAAUAAUGGAUUAUGUUGGAAUCUCAA